rnacentral:lncRNA from 1 species
AAGGUCAAAGUAUCUAUAUAUAUAUUCAAAAAGUGACUGAAUACAUAGGUGUUUCAAUAUAUAUGAGUCAACUUAGAGUACAAAAUUUAUGGAUAGAAACUAUCCAAGAGUCAAUCAGUCAACACAUUACAUAGCCCACAAGAUAGAUCCUAGAUAAAAACAAAAGAAAGGACAGACUACACUGGGUCUAAUAGAUGUCAUGGCU